rnacentral:rRNA from 1 species
AUUGAACGCUGGCGGCAGGCCUAACACAUGCAAGUCGAGCGGCAGCGGAAAGUAGCUUGCUACUUUGCCGGCGAGCGGCGGACGGGUGAGUAAUGUCUGGGAAACUGCCUGAUGGAGGGGGAUAACUACUGGAAACGGUAGCUAAUACCGCAUAACGUCGCAAGACCAAAGAGGGGGACCUUCGGGCCUCUUGCCAUCAGAUGUGCCCAGAUGGGAUUAGCUAGUCGGUGGGGUAACGGCUCACCUAGGCGACGAUCCCUAGCUGGUCUGAGAGGAUGACCAGCAACACUGGAACUGGGACACGUGCCAGACUCCUACGGGAGGCAGCAGUGGGGAAUAUUGCACAAUGGGCGCAAGCCUGAUGCAGCCAUGCCGCGUGUAUGAAGAAGGCCUUCGGGUUGUAAAGUACUUUCAGCGGGGAGGAAGGUGUUGAGGUUAAUAACCUCAGCAAUUGACGUUACCCGCAGAAGAAGCACCGGCUAACUCCGUGCCAGCCGCCGCCGUAA